rnacentral:rRNA from 1 species
UACAGAGGGUGCAAGCGUUAAUCGGAAUUACUGGGCGUAAAGCGCGCGUAGGUGGUUUGUUAAGUUGGAUGUGAAAUCCCCCGGGCUUAACCUGGGAACUGCAUUUGUGACUGCAUUGCUGGAGUGCGGCAGAGGGGGGAUGGAAUUCCGCGUGUAGCAGUGAAAUGCGUAGAUAUGCGGAGGAACACCGAUGGCGAAGGCAA